AUUGAACGCUGGCGGCAGGCUUAACACAUGCAAGUCGAGCGGGGGAAGGUAGCUUGCUACUGGACCUAGCGGCGGACGGGUGAGUAAUGCUUAGGAAUCUGCCUAUUAGUGGGGGACAACAUCUCGAAAGGGAUGCUAAUACCGCAUACGUCCUACGGGAGAAAGCAGGGGAUCUUCGGAUCUUGCGCUAAUAGAUGAGCCUAAGUCGGAUUAGCUAGUUGGUGGGGUAAAGGCCUACCAAGGCGACGAUCUGUAGCGGGUCUGAGAGGAUGAUCCGCCACACUGGGACUGAGACACGGCCCAGACUCCUACGGGAGGCAGCAGUGGGGAAUAUUGGACAAUGGGGGGAACCCUGAUCCAGCCAUGCCGCGUGUGUGAAGAAGGCCUUAUGGUUGUAAAGCACUUUAAACGAGGAGGAGGCUACUUUAGUUAAUACCUAGAGAUAGUGGACGUACUCGCAGAAUAAGCACCGGCUAACUCUGUGCCAGCCGCCGCAGUAA
rnacentral:rRNA from 1 species